rnacentral:rRNA from 1 species
UGGGGAAUAUUGGACAAUGGGGGCAACCCUGAUCCAGCAAUGCCGCGUGUGUGAAGAAGGCCUUCGGGUUGUAAAGCACUUUUAUCGGGAACGAAACAUUGUCGGCCAAUACCCGGCAAGACUGACGGUACCCGAGGAAUAAGCACCGGCUACCUCCGUGCCAGCAGCCGCGGUAAUACGGAGGGUGCAAGCGUUAAUCGGAAUUACUGGGCGUAAAGCGUGCGCAGGCGGUUUGUUAAGUCUGCUUGGAAAUCCCCGAGCUCAACUUGGGAAUUGCAGUGGAUACUGGCAAGCGGGAGUACGGUAGGGNAAGGUGGAAUUCCCGGUGUAGCAGUGAAAUGCGUAGCGACCGGGAGGAACACC